rnacentral:misc_RNA from 1 species
UCCGGUUUAUCACCGGCGGUUCCGCUAAAGUACCCACCCUAAGUGUUGGUAACUAGCAGCAAGGGUUGCGUUCGUUGCGGGACUUAACCCAACAUCUCACGACACGAACUGACGACAGCCAUGCAGCACCUGUGUGGGAUCCAGCCGAGCUGACGGAUAUGUCUCCAUAUCCUACGAUCCCCAUGUCAAGAGCUGGUAAGGUUUUUCGCGUAGCUUCGAAUUAAACCACAUACUCCACCGCUUGUGCGGGUCCCCGUCAAUUCCUUUAAGUUUUAAUCUUGCGACCGUACUCCCCAGGCGGCAUGCUUAUCGCGUUAGCUCCGACACUGAAGGCUUGUGCCCCCAACAUCUAGCAUGCAUCGUUUACAGUGUGGACUAC